rnacentral:lncRNA from 1 species
AAUAAUAGAAUUUAAUUCAAUAAUAAUUAAAUUCAGUUAUUGUAAUUAUAUAACUUGGUAUGCCUAUUAUUGAUUUAAAUUGACGGUGUGUUCGAUUCAUUUUAUACUGGUCACUUUAAUAUGAUAAUUAGUUUAGCCCGCGAAAUGUUAGUCCGUGCAAUUUACCUCGUGUGGUUUGGUCAUUUGAAUUCAAACCUUACACGAAGCUUGACCAAAGCUAUAGAAUUUACCCACCCUCCCUUUUCCCCAUUAUGAAUAUUUUCUGCUGCUUUUCAUUUAUCGUUUCAGUUUUGGAAGAAUGAUUAUAGAACCAGCGUAAUUGUAUAUAUAACAGACUGAGUUUGGGAGCUUUUUUGUAUUGUGAAUGGACAGGCGGAAUUUACUUUAAGCUGCUAUGGACUACCCAGUGGCUCCUGAUAUAACUUUGUUACUGCUGGAUCGCCCUUCAGUAAUUCAAUCGUCAUCAAGUUUUGAUUGACAAGUUGAUUGUGUUUCUUUCUUGCAAUAAAUGCCAUGACAAAUUUACAGCCAAAUAAAACAUAAUUUCUUUAGUGAUUUUGAUUUAUAGUUUAUUCGUUGGAUUCAUUAAUUACAUCAUGAGGUCAAACAAUGAGAAUACAGAUUUAAACAAUACAAGUACACUUACAUUUUAUCUAGGC